UACGGAGGAUCCGAGCGUUAUCCGGAUUUAUUGGGUUUAAAGGGUGCGCAGGUUGUUUGAUAAGUCAGUGGUGAAAGUCUGUCGCUUAACGGUAGGAUUGCCAUUGAUACUGUUAGACUUGAAUAUGGAUGAGGUAGGCGGAAUGUGUAGUGUAGCGGUGAAAUGCUUAGAUAUCACGAGGAACUCCGAUUGCGCAGGCAGCUUACUAAACUACUACUGACGCUCAGGCACGAAGGCGUGGGGAUCAAACAGGAUUAGA
rnacentral:rRNA from 1 species